CGCUGACAUAUGACUAACCGAGAAGCUCCUCCCCACAACAGUUGUAUGUCAUCUGCUUCAGAGAACUAAUUGCUUGGCAAUUCCCCUUUGGUCACAGAGAGUGCUGGUGGACAUCUCCUCUUGCCCCAAGAUCUUCGUUGGAAGUCCACGGGACUUGGUGUCUUUGCCGUUCAAAGUGUAUAUGAACUCUCCAGGAGGCAUAAUGCGUCACCAUUUUAUUCUGGGCCACCCUAAAGGAUGACACCCAGCUUCAGAGACCUCCUCUUGGACUUCACCCCUGAGAACCAGUGGUUUAGCUCUCCCGUUGUCUGAAAUCUGUUUCCGACUGAUUUUCAGCUGGCUCAGGCUUAGUCAUUAAAUGGCCAGGACAAUGUUGAAUAUUCUACUUGAUCAGCUUGCAGCUGUACACCUUUUGUCACUUUCAGAGCAGCAACUCCCUCUUCAGCUCUUGUCAGUCUUUACAUAGAUAUGCUAGAAAACAGGCACCAAUCCAUUCUUUCCAUCUUGGCGUUUGCCCACAGGCAUAGUCCUGGGAUGACCUGGAGUAAAGGCAGCAGAGGAUAAAUUCAUCUUGCACAGACUUGUUCCUGCUCGUUCUGGCCUGUCUCUCCCCACAGAUCUAGCUUUUAAAUACUCAAGUGAUUGGUUUUGUGUAGGAAUGUGUGGAUUGUUGGGUUGGAAUAAUUUUCUCUCUGGAUUGCUAGUGUUUACAUAAGCAGAUAUAAAAAAAGGUUCUAUCACGGAUUUACAUAGCAGGCUUAUUUCAAAAAGUUACAGGUGCUUACCAAUGGCACAGAAUAAAAAUGUAAUUUUUUUUAUUACAAGUUGUAACAAAACCAAAAGGUGUAUAUUGAUUUGUGUCAGGAAAGGGUCAAAACUGAAAAUUUGCAACAAAGUCAAACCAGAACAGAGCAAGAGCAAACAGAAGCUGACAAAUAUAUGCCCCUUGUUGGGAGUUCAGCCCAUGGAAUGUUAUGUAGGACAAAAGGAAUGGAAGAGAUAUUUCAGUAACAUUUUGUUCUCUGUCAAAAACCUUCUGAAGUAUAAAUCUGCUGUGUAUUGGAGAAAGGAUACAGCAAUUGAUUCAAGUUGAAUAGCUUUCAUUUAACUAGAAAUUCCCACAGAAAGCCGUUCUUGUUCUGACAACCAUAUUUUUGCUUUCCUUGACUUAAAGAAAAUUGAAUUCAUGUUUACAUAUCUUAUAGGAUUGUUUUAUAGACAAAGACACAGGUCAAAUCCCAUCCCAGCAUGGUGGCUAUUGUUAUAGCAAACAGAAACAUUUCUAAAUGAAAUAAAAACAUUUCUAAGCCACGGCCUGUGGCCCUAGUAAUAAGACUAGGUUGAUAUUAUGAAACCAUUUGCAAC
rnacentral:lncRNA from 1 species